rnacentral:sRNA from 1 species
GAGCGAGCUUUAUGCAGGAGCACAGGAGAAAAGGGCUCUGUGUGGGAGCCAGGAGGAGCUCUGAACCCCACAUAGAGGCCAGCUCUGUGCAGUACUGCCCAGGCAGGCUGGGCCAAGAGGGGUGGCCAACUUUAGCAGCACAUCAACCUCCCUGUUUCGAUCCUGGCUCCCAUGGGAUGGUCCUCCAUCCUCAGGCACUCAUGAAGAAAGGGGAGAAAAGGGGACCAUGAGAAUCGGAUAGAGGCUUUCUUGUUCACCACGGGAUGGCAUCCACAGGAUCUGACUCAAAUCCUGAAGCACCCUGGAGGAUAGAUUCUCUAUUCAUCUGGAGGGCAGCGACUCCGACUCCAUUCUUGCUAAUCUCUAGCACCUGGAUUAUGUAUGGCCUUUGGACAAACCCAUGAGCUGGUUUGCAAUUCAUCCGCCGCCCUCCCGUGCUGUUCCUGCUAUCAGAUGAUGAAAACGGAGAUUGGUCUAGAAGAAAGAAAGAAGGCGCUUUCUUCCCCCUUCCUCGUCUAUUUGAGCCCCCUUUCCUCCCCCAUUACCAUGUGUUCCUCAAACCUGGGAUCCGUCCAAGUCCUAAAUGUGUUGGAAAGUGUAUCCCCCGAGCAGCUGUGAACCUGCUCGGGCCGCAGUGGCCCGGGGUGAACGAGAAACCGAGAGAUAGGGCUGCUAACAAUGCAGCCUCUGUUCUUAUAUGGAGAGCAAGAUCACAAUCAACAUCACACACACACACACACAC